rnacentral:rRNA from 1 species
GAUGAACGCUGGCGGCGUGCUUAACACAUGCAAGUCGAACGAGAAGUGAAGACGGAAACCUUCGGGCGGAAGGCUUUAUUUCGAGUGGCGGACGGGUGAGUAACGCGUGGGUAACCUGCCUCAUACAGGGGGAUAACAGUUGGAAACGACUGUUAAUACCGCAUAAGACCACAGCACCGCAUGGUGCGGGGGUAAAAACUCCGGUGGUAUGAGAUGGACCCGCGUUCGAUUAGCCAGUUGGCGGGGUAACGGCCCACCAAAGCGACGAUCGAUAGCCGAUCUGAGAGGAUGACCGGCCACAUUGGGACUGAGACACGGCCCAAACUCCUACGGGAGGCAGCAGUGGGGAAUAUUGCACAAUGGGGGAAACCCUGAUGCAGCGACGCCGCGUGAGUGAAGAAGUAUUGCGGUAUGUAAAGCUCUAUCAGCAGGGAAGAAAAUGACGGUACCUGAGUAAGAAGUCCCGGCUAACUACGUG